UACGUAGGGGGCAAGCGUUGUCCGGAAUCAUUGGGCGUAAAGCGCGUGUAGGCUGCUCUGCAAGUCGGGUGUGAAAGCCCUGGGCUCAACCUAGGAAGUGCACUCGAAACUGCAGAGCUGGAGUCCUGGAGAGGAAGGCGGAAUUCUCGGGUGUAGAGGUGAAAUUCGUAGAUAUCGAGAGGAACACCGGUGGCGAAGGCGGCCUUCUGGACAGUGACUGACGCUGAGACGCGAAAGCGUGGGGAGCAAACAGG
rnacentral:rRNA from 1 species